UUGGUAAAAAGGUAAAAGUCCCAUCCUAAUAUUCUAAGUUCAGAGGACAAGUAUUAAUUAAGCCCCCCACCCCUCUCUUUUAUUUAUACCCAAAAUGAAAACCCAUCCUCUCCAUCUUCUAAAAUCCCUAACAUCGACUCUUCCAAAGGCUGCCGAUGGCUAAAGAUUUACAAACUGGAACACAUGAGUUGUUAAUCUGAGCUGACAGGUGUGGAUUUGGUGGCUGAGCUUGUGGUGUGACUUUGGGUCCAAAAGGAAGGAAUGUACUGCUUGGAAAUAAGUAUGGCUCUCCCAAGAUUGUUAAUGAUGAUGAAACUUUUCUUAAAGAGAUCCAGGCUAAAGGAACCUCGAUGCAAAUGGUGGGUAUGGAUUGGUUGAAGUCUGACAAACAGAACAUGAUAUUGGUAGUCGGCCUGAGGGCAUUGUUUAGGUUUUUCUUUUAUUCAAUUAAUAUACAAUGAUCAUAUUGUUUUGGCCUGAGCCUACUUCAAUUUCCUACAAAGCUUCUAUCCAAAUGCUUCAUUUUGCUGGUUUUCCACUUGUAUUCAGGUCUGAGGUUUGACAUAUAGUCUUGCUCUCUACCAUUUGAUGGAUACCCCUUUGGAGGAUUCACCUUUGCUGGAGAGUUUUGUCAAAGGAAAUGAUGCUUAUAGAAACUCGAUGUUCAAGCUUAUACCAUCCAUAUUCAAGGAGUUGGAGACUUUCAUUUACACUUCAAGAUGCAAGUUUGAAUACUUUGAACAAGUUGACAAAUUGGUUAUCGUUUUGAUAGGAUUAUUUGGCAAAAUAUUGUAUUAUAUACUUAGAGAUAUUAGCUUUUUUGGCUGAUUGAGUUGUAUAAACAGUAGUGACUAUAUGUUUUUGUAAACAGUACUGCUUGUGGGAGGUUAAUCCAUUCCUUUAGUGAAUACAAUUUGAUUAUCUAUAUAAGAAAUUGUACAGUAUCUUAGAAAAACCGAAAAGAGCAUGUAUUAUUUGAGUGCUA